AAUCUUGCGCAAUGGGCGAAAGCCUGACGCAGCCAUGCCGCGUGAAUGAUGAAGGNCUNNGGAUUNUNAAAUUCUUUCACCGGNNNNNAUAAUGACGGUCCCCGGAGAAGAAGCCCCGGCUAACUUCGUGCCAGCAGCCGCGGUAAUACGAAGGGGGCUAGCGUGGCUCGGAAUUACUGGGCGGAAAGGGCGCGUAGGCGGAUCGUUAAGGCAGGGGUGAAAUCCCGGGGCUCAACCACGGAAUUGCCCUUGAUACUGGCGAUCUUGAGUAUGAGAGAGGUAUGUGGAACUCCGAGUGUAGAGGUGAAAUUCGUAGAUAUUCGGAAGAACACCAGUGGCGAAGGCGACAUACUGGCUCAUUACUGACGCUGAGGCGCGAAAGCGUGGGGAGCAAACA
rnacentral:rRNA from 1 species